CGGCGCACGCACACGGCGCACUGACCACGCCAGUUUCGCGGCUCCGCCAUGGCCACCUCCACCACCGCGCUCCACCCGCAAUUCCGGCCGCCGCUGCGCGCUCCCGGCCGUCUCCGCCCGCUUCCACACUCCUCGUAUUCCUCGUUCGCCCGCGCUCGCCCUCGCACUCCCGUCCGGGCCUCAGCGGCGUCCGCGUCCGCGCCGGUGCAGCAGGAGGCCGUCGCGGGGGUCCCGUGGGGCUGCGAGAUCGAGUCCCUGGAGAGCGCGGCGUCGCUGGAGCGAUGGCUCAUAGACUCGGGCCUCCCAGAGCAACGCCUGGCCAUCCAGCGCGUGGACGUCGGCGAGCGCGGCCUUGUCGCGCUCAAGAACAUCCGCAAGGGGGAGAAGCUGCUCUUCGUGCCGCCUUCCCUCGUCAUCACCGCCGAUUCGGAAUGGAGCCGCCCAGAGGUGGGGGAUGUGAUGAAGAAGAACGCAGUGCCGGACUGGCCGCUUAUCGCCACUUACCUCAUAAGUGAAGCCAGUUUAGAGGGCUCCUCGAAGUGGAGCAACUACAUAGCAGCGUUGCCAAGGCAGCCUUACUCCCUUUUGUACUGGACUCGUGCAGAGCUAGAUGCAUACCUGGUGGCUUCGCCAAUCAGGGAACGUGCAAUUCAGAGGAUAACCGAUGUGAUUGGGACAUACAACGACCUUCGAGACCGUAUAUUUUCUAAACAUUCAGAUUUAUUCCCUGAAGAGGUGUAUAACAUAGAGACAUUUCUAUGGUCCUUCGGCAUUCUCUUCUCGCGCCUGGUCCGUUUGCCAUCAAUGGAUGGAAGGGUUGCAUUAGUUCCUUGGGCAGAUAUGCUUAACCAUAGUCCUGAGGUGGAAACAUUCUUGGACUUCGAUAAGUCAUCACAAGGAAUAGUUUUCACCACUGACCGCUCAUAUCAACCAGGUGAGCAGGUUUUUAUAUCUUAUGGGAAGAAAUCCAGUGGUGAGCUGUUGCUUUCAUAUGGUUUUGUUCCAAAAGAGGGAACAAACCCAAAUGAUUCAGUUGAGUUGCUGGUGUCUCUUGACAAAUCUGAUAAGUGCUACAAAGAGAAACUACAAGCCCUAAAGCGAAAUGGUUUGUCAGCAUCUGAAAGUUUCCCAUUGCGGGUUACAGGAUGGCCAGUUGAGCUGAUGGCUUAUGCCUUCCUUGUGGUCAGUCCUCCUGACAUGAGUCAACGCUUUGAGGAGAUGGCUAUUGCUGCGUCGAAUAAAAAUUCAUCCAAACCUGGAUUCAAUUAUCCUGAAUUGGAAGAACAGGCUCUUCAGUUUAUCCUGGACUGCUGCGAAUCUAAUAUAGCAAAGUAUACGAAGUACCUAGAGGGUGGCAAUGGCUCUCCACAAGUUUCAAUAAAUGCUAAGCAAGCAAACAGGACAUUACUGUUAAAACAGCUAGCGAACAAGCUAUGCAUCAGUGAACGGAGAAUCUUGUAUCGUACACAAUAUAUAUUGCGUAGAAGAUUGAGGGACAUGAGAGGUGGCGAACUUAGAGCUCUGUCAUUGUUCAAUGGGCUAAGAAAGCUCUUCAAAUAAAUGGAUGGGCUACAUUUCUAGGUGGAAUGGAUCCUAUCGGAUAGUUUUGAUUUCUCUGAUAACAUGUUUCAGGUGCUUUGACCUUGCAUCAGGAGCUUCAUGUGUUUCUUACCAAAUCACAUUGCAGUCUCAGCCGAAAAUUUCUCAUCUGGAGACUGGAGCAGCGUCUGUAUGCUAGAAGGGAGCAGGUUCAACAAAGAGUUGUGAAUUGUAAUUGAACAGCCCAGAGCUUGUCAUAUACUAGUAUGUAAGGUAGCGUUUACGAGAGGAGCUAGCCAGUCAUAUUCUGCCCCUGGCCGGCUGGCCCCAGCUAUUUUAGUCCAUAUAUGAUGUUUAUGCGUUAUGCGUGUACAAACUGUAAAUCCAUGGUGAUAUGCAACUGCUGAAAAUAGUUGUGCCUGCCUACAAA